GAUAACUCACUGUACAUUCUCAAAGUUACCAUCUCAGACUCUGGAAGAUACUGGUGUAAUACUGAACCAGUCGUGGAGCUGACGGUGAUCCCAUCAGGAGCAACCAGACUUGAUGCUACAGAGAGGACCAGCGUCACUAUGACAUGCCCUCAUGAUGUUGGAGGAUCACAUAUUAUAACAUGGAGCAGCAGAGGCUAUGGUGAAAUAAAACAUCGGAAAGGGUUUUAUGUUUCACCUCUUGACCAGACGUUGACCGUACUAAACGUGGAGCUUGGUAACUCUGGACUUUACUCCUGUAAUGGAAAACCAGCUUUUUACCUGAAUGUGAUCAAAGAUAACAAGACACCACCGACGACCUCAACUACAGCAACAUUGAC